AAUUGCCAUUUUCGUUCCCGGUUCCUAAUUUAAAUUCAUACUACUGGAAUUAAUCUGUCGGGAAAACUUAUGUUCUUAGUUAAUUCCAUAAAUAGUAUAGCAUGUACUCCUAGUAUUUGAUACAGAACAUAGAACUGUGCUGGAACCAUGAUUCAAAGAUCCAACGGAAUUAAGAUCCAGUCGAGACAAUGUGAAUGGUGAACGAGUGAACGAGUGAACGAAAUGAACGAAAGAACGACCAGUUUGCGUUGGGAACGAUUUCGGUCACUCGUUCAUUCGAACGACCCGUUCAAUUUGAUUCGUUCGUUCGCGAACGACACAUCUCUAAGAGGAAUACACUUGUGUUCGGAUGCUGAUACACGAUGAUUGCGUUUUAAAAGAAUAAACUGCUAAAUUCUGCGUUUGGUUUCUUUUUCCUAAAACUGUGCUGACAAAUGAAAUCCAAAAAGUGAGGUACCCUGAAGGUAAAAAUUGUGAAAAAUCACGUAAUGGACAAUGGCAGAGCAAGUCUUAUCACAGUUAACGAACACUAUGAGUACCUAAUGAGUUUUUGCAGUAAAUAAUUUUGCCAAAGUUGUGAUCCCGCGAAAGUUCUGUUUGUAAAUUGUAAGGAAUCGUCAAAAUAUUGGUGCAGACAUGGUUUGUGACCGGUGCUUUUCUCUUGAAAAAACACAACUGAAAGCCUUGAUCUUCAUCCCUACAAUAGGUGAAAACUGCUAUAUCCAAACAUUACCUUCAGCUUUGCAGUUUCUAGAUAUCUGAAACAUGCCAGAUCUGCAUAACAGGAAUGUCAAAGAGGUUCUACCCAAAACACGCCCACAUGGCCAUCCUAAUAUCAAGAUUUUUCAAAAUUUCUAUAACAAAAAAGAUGAAAAAAACCAAUAAAAUUUCAGGAGCAUAGUGUUAAGAGUUCUGUAGAUGAUUAUGAGAUCUCUUGAAACAACAGAAUGUUUAAUAAAGAUUUUUAACUUUCCUAAUAGUAAAAUUACAAUUAUUACUAAACAGUAUGUUGAAGUAAGUUUUAAAUUAAGAAAAUGCAACUAACACCGAAAGAAAAAUGAAAGUUACUGAAAAUAAAAAACUUUAUUGCAGUACCUACAUACACUAAUUUUGUUUAUUGAUCACAUUCAUUUACUUGAAAAAGUAUCAGGCCUAUGAAUCGUCGUCUGGAAACAGCUAACCACACACCAACCUUCAUUGCGUGUGAUGGUGUUUCUUCAAAAGCGUGAGUAUUUUCUAUACACCAAAUUCUGAAGUUCUGUCAGUUGACAUAAUAGCCUAACAGAUGAAACCAGGCUUCAUCAGAAAAGAACGACAAAUCGAGAAUCCCGUUAUCGUCCAUAUCAGCUUGAAACCAACUACAAUACCCAACGCGGCAAGGAAAAUCAGCUGGUUGCAGCUCCUGAACCAACAAAAUCUUGUAUGGAUGCAUAUGUAACUUCUCUUUUACGAUUUUCUGACAUGGGCUGUAUGGUACUCCGGACAGUAAAGAUUUUUGACAAA